UUCCGGUUGAUCCUGCCGGAGGUCACUGCUAUUGGGAUUCGACUAAGCCAUGCGAGUCGAGAGGGUUCGGCCCUCGGCUGACGGCUCAGUAACACGUGGAUAAUCUGCCCUUAGGUGGAGGAUAAUCUCGGGAAACUGAGGAUAAUACUCCAUAGAUCUAGGAUGCUGGAAUGCAUCUAGAUUGAAAGCUCCGGCGCCUAAGGAUGAGUCUGCGGACUAUCAGGUUGUAGUCAGGGUAAAGACCUGACUAGCCUACGACGGAUACGGGUUGUGAGAGCAAUAACCCGGAGACGAUAUCUGAGACACGAUAUCGGGCCCUACGGGGCGCAGCAGGCGCGAAAACUUCACACUGUGCGAAAGCGCGAUGAGGGAAUCCCAAGUGUUUGCUCGUAAGAGUAAACUGUUUCUCUGUUUAAAACGCAGAGAGAGUAAGGGCUGGGUAAGACGGGUGCCAGCCGCCGCGGUAAUACCUGCAGCUCAAGUGGUGAUCAUUAUUAUUGGGCCUAAAACGUCCGUAGCCGGUUUAGUAAAUGCCUGGGUAAAUCGUGUAGCUUAACUAUACGACUUCCGGGUAGACUACUAAACUUGAGACCGGGAGAGGCUAGAGGUACUCCUGGGGUAGAGGUGAAAUUCUGUAAUCCUAGGGGGACCACCAGUGGCGAAGGCGUCUAGCUAGAACGGGUCUGACGGUGAGGGACGAAGCCCUGGGGCACAAACCGGAUUAGAUACCCGGGUAGUCCAGGGUGUAAACGCUGCUUGCUUGAUGUUAGUUGGGCUCCGAGCCCAACUAGUGUCGGAGAGAAGUUGUUAAGCAAGCUGCCUGGGAAGUACGGUCGCAAGGCUGAAACUUAAAGGAAUUGGCGGGGGAGCACAGCAACGGGUGGAGCGUGCGGUUUAAUUGGAUUCAACGCCGGA
rnacentral:rRNA from 1 species